GUCAAGAUGGCCGAGUGGUUAAGGCGCCAGACUUAAGAUUCUAAUUCAAAUAAUAGAUAAGUAGGUUAUUUUGUGAUAUCCGUUACUUGGCAUUCUGGUCUUCGAAGAAGACGUGGGUUCGAACCCCACUUUGACA
rnacentral:tRNA from 1 species